rnacentral:rRNA from 1 species
UACGGGGGGGGCAAGCGUUGUUCGGAAUUACUGGGCGUAAAGGGCUCGUAGGUGGCCAACUAAGUCAGACGUGAAAUCCCUCGGCUUAACCGGGGAACUGCGUCUGAUACUGGAUGGCUUGAGUUUGGGAGAGGGAUGCGGAAUUCCAGGUGUAGCGGUGAAAUGCGUAGAUAUCAAGUGGAACACCAGUGGCGAAGGCGAGUCCCUGGACAACUCCUGACACUGAGGCACGAAAGCGUGGGGAGCAAACAGG